UGAUAUGAGAUACGCGCAACCUCUCUGCGAAGGCGCUCAGGAAGAAUUGAGUAAUAUCGUCAUCUCGAUUAAUUUCUCAUGCUUCCUUCCUGUUUAAGUAUAGUGCUGACCACAAGCUGACACAAUUUGCCUGUCUGUCAGUUUUCAAACAAGUUAGAAGACAAGACUAUUUUUGUAGCCAAAAACAGGAUGCAUUCAUAGUUGGAGCACCUUGGAGAGUGCACAAGAAACACACACACAUAAGUACCACAUUAAAGUGCAGCAUACAGCCACUAAUGAUAUUAUGGAAGCAAUAGGAGUCAUUAAACGAGAUUCAUGGGAAAUGAAAAGGACAUGGGAAGGCAUAAGACACAUCAAAAAUGCACAAAUUACCACCGCCAGUAGAGAGAGAGAGAGAGAGAGAGCAAGAAACAGAAUGACUCAAGAAUCAAGAGAGUAAAGCCUGUGGUGUUGUUAAAAUUAAUCAAUUUCAAAUUCAAGUUGUCCUUGCUCUCUAUUUACUUAAUUCGAUUGAGGACAUUUAAUAUUAUUUUUCUCUAAGAAUUAGUUUUUAGUUUAUUCUUUAUCAGUUUAUUCAUUGUUUCUGAAACAAUAUUUGUGUUGUGUGCUCGGUAGAUUAAAGGUAAAUUUCACAUCUCUUUUUCCAACCACAAUCUUCCUUAAGUUUUUCAUAGACCAAAUCUGCGCUAUUUUUACACUUUUGUGUGGUAUACACACCACACGUGUUUGUUCGGAACUGAAUGUGUUAAAGUUGCACAUGGACAACUGCCAAAAAUGUUUCUGUUGAAUAUCGCAGUCAUUUCUCCGGUUGAGGAUUUCUCCAAGUGAAAUAAUCUUGAUCAGAAAAAGAUCAGUUUUGUAGUUUCUUCACCCUCAGACUGGGAGUAAAGCUGUCUGCUGGUGUGAGCAUUUUUGAAAGUCUUGUAGUCUGCUUUUGCUAUGUAACAUAAAUUAUGAAAGAUUUAUUACAAGUACAUUACAGUAUGUUUAAAAAAAAAAAAAAAAAGUAUUUCUAGAAAAAAUGAUUUUGCAUUAACCAACUUUGAGGUGUUUUAUUUGACCAGUGAAUUUGAUUAUUUCUGUGUUUCUGAUCAUAACUGACCAUAGGUGUUUGGUUUGAUCGCUGGUCUGCUGUUUGCCUAUGAUGCCUACACCAUUUUCCUGCAAAUCAAGAGCACCAGGCAGCACACGGCAGCAUCCACCAAUGACGGAGUUUAAACACUCCGAGACACGUGCCUCUGUCAGGGUCGUAGAAGAAGAACAAAGAGGAAUUUGUGCAGAAGUUAACGGAAGAGUGGAUCAAAGAGGGGAUGAUGGACAGUAAAAAUGAACAGGUCACAGUUUAAUCAAUGCCACUGUAUGGUGUGAACAGACAAGAGAUUUAUUUAGGGCCGUGCUUGAGAGGAGUAUGACGUAGCCAGAGUGGUACUGUACUGCACAUCUAUGCCUGCAUGUCAGACAAAAACAUGUCUACUACAUGAAGAAUUCCCCUCACAACUCCAGCCUCAAUGUACCACUGAUUUAAUAAGGGAAAUUUGCAAAUAAUAGGCAGUGGCUGGUGUCCUCAAGCAGCUUGUCUAACACAUGUCUACUGUUAAUGGACUGCUGUAAUAAGUAGUAACUGUAUCAUUUGGAUUUUUGAAGUAACUGACACAUGAAGGGGUGCUUUAGGAAUUGUUUAACAUGAUAAUUAUGCUUUUCUGGAGUGUGUUUUCUGUAUGUUCAGUGAGGUUUUAUUAGCUGGCCAAACGUGUCCUUCUCUGUUAUUUAAAGCUACUACAAGGAAUUUUCAUUUGCUAAUUUGAGCGUCCCCUGUGGACAAAUGCAGUAGUGUUUUUCCCAGAGUGAAGACUGUAUUUCACAUGAGCACCGCCACCUCCAGUCAUAAAGAUGUUGAUCUGGCAAGCGCGUACAUUUGUUUUGGAAGUGAGUGAAAGAAAUAAGUAACAAAUUUAGAUGUUUUUCUUUUUUGAACACAGCUGUUUGCAGGGUGCAUAGCGAUGAGGUAAUAUGUAUAUGUGGCUAUUUAAGAAUAAUAACUAAUAUGACCAUGGUUAAAAAAAGUUGUUUUUGUACCGUUCAUACACCUAGGCCUCGUGUAAUGCCUGGUGCACACUAGAGGAUUUUCAAAUCUUAACUGAUUUUUAAAAUGUGGGAUACCACAAACAUAACGACAGAAUUAAUCAUAUUUUAAUCUUAAGAACGCACACACCCGACGAUUCAGUCAAGACACAGGAUCACACACACUCACAGAAACUUUCUUGAUCAAACGUGACUUCAGACAUAAACAAACGUGAAGGCAGACUGUCGUCGUCAGCUAGCUGCACUUUUGUGUGCUAUGUUUUGCACAGGAAAACAAAAAAUUAAAAAUAAAACAGUGGAUGAACUGAUGAUAAUUGGUUCUGACCAGGCUCUGCUCGGGAUCGCCCACCCAAUCGGCCGAAUUAUCCUCUAGUGUGUGGCCAGCAUAAGCCAUUUGGUUGUGCAAUUUUGUUACGAAAGCUAAAGCAUUCCCAUCCAUCCAUCCAUCCAUCCAUCGUCAACCGCUUAUCCUGUGUACAGGGUCGCGGGUAAAGCAUUCCCUAGUAAUGUUAUUUCUUCAGUAUAAGCCAACAACAAGAUAUAGCUCAGCAGCAAGGCCAUCAUAAAAUGUUACCUUGUAUAACAAUUUGCCAUAGACUGGAGUGAGACAAUAGACGUUUCAGAAAGCUAUUGCGAUCUCUCUUCUUCUCAAUAAAACAUCUUGGGUGCGACCUCUCGAGUCAGAAUCAAAAUAACUGCAUCGUCUUCUUUUCAGUUUACAGUGGACACUAGUUUUGAUAUAAGGCUCUGGUAAGAUUAGCUAUUUCUAUAUAGCUAUAGCUAUAACUAUAUAGAAAUAGCCACUCUUCCCGCUGAUGUUCUCGUUUAUGUACGUCAUAUAGAGGCAUCAGUAUUAAAUUAAGACUGUUUCAUAACCAGUUAAAAUGUCCUUGUAGCUGCUUUAAUCACUGUUCUUUAGAGUGCUCCCUGUGUGUUACAGUGCCUUAACGUCUCAUUCAAAAUAACCAGUUCUUUCAUCUUAUUCAUUUUUAUUCCUGACUCCUAAACAUUUGAAGUAGUCACUGUUUUUGUACUAGUCAGAUUUUAGUCUGCACCUCCAUUAACCAUCAAACAUCAUGUCAUCCUCCAGUUUCACACAUCUACUUUGCUCAGGUUUUUUUCCUUUUAUGCAUUUGUUACACACUUUUAAGGUGCAGAAUAUUUUGCUGUUGACAUUUAUACAGUCCAUGAGUACAGUAAAGGUAAUGUUUUAAGUACAUGUUCUCUUUUGAUGAGACAGAUAACGAAAAAUCCAUUUCUAAAGAAAAAUGACAUUGUUUUGGAAUUUUAUGAUGUGAAUAUCGCAAUUUGAAUACUUCCUGUAACUGUUUCCUCUACCCUUUGGUUGUUAUUUGUUCAAGUAAAAUAUCACCUUAUCUUUAUUAUUUUUUCUAACAUGCUUUACAACAGUCUGCAGUUUGUAAUGUCAAAAUUCAAAGCAGCCUUGUUUGGGAAAUAAAAGCCAUUGUUACUUCAAAGAAAA